AGCUGUUUUCUUUUUCUUCCUGUUUUUGCCCUUUUAUCACGGUCCACUGGAGAGGAGUGUCUUGGCCCUGAACUGUUGAAGUUCUGGAAUCAUGAUGGGUGAUCUUAAUUGAUACAGGGUGUCAGAAGUGCUGAACGAGAAGGAAACUGCAGUAAUUUUGAAGUUAACUCCUGUGUUUGCAACUGAAAGCAGAGACAAAGGGAGGCACUAGAGAAAAACAUGGAGCACCAGGCCAGAAGCUUUUGCAAGUAUUUGAGGGAAGAUGUAGACAUAUGUUUGUGGAAGAUUAUCAUUUAGAGAUGCUCCCUCAUAAGGGACAUUAUUAUGAACAUAGGAAUUUGGAGAUGUGCCCUAGAGGCGGGGGGCAUUGGGAAAGCCUCAUAGCUGCAUGCAGCAGUUCACUACAGAAGCUCUCCAGUUUGUUUGAUUAAAUUUGUAUUCCUUUCUCAUUCACUGGUUUGUUAAUGUACC